CUCCUGCUCUUUCCUUCCAGCUGAAGCUCUCACCUGGAAUCCUGCGUGGGACAGGACCACGGACACCCUGGCUCGGCACCCCAGUGCCCCCCAGCUCUGAAUCGGCAGACGAGGAUGCGAGGACCUGGGCUUCGGGCUCCGUGACCUGCGCUCACUCACCCCCUCGAAAUGUCUGGAAAACAUAAUGGGCAGGUUUUCUGUCUUCAAAGUUUCCGGCGAAAGCUCUUCAAGUUCUGUUUUGUUUGGGACUGGGACACUCAGGGAUGGUAAUGGGGAGCGCCUUUUGUAUUUGCCUUGAAAGGCCAAAAUAUUUCUAUAUUGCUCUAGACAAAGCCACCUAUUUACAAACGAACUUUGUGUGCGUCGUUUCCCACUGGGGAAGGCUAUGUACCAUGCGUGUCUAUGUAUUCUGGGGUCUUGAAAUGGGCUUCUCAUGGGGAUGGCCAUUCACCGGGGUCCAGGGAGCAGAGCAACAAACUGCUGUCUCGCCAAGGGGCCUGGGGGUGGGGCCCUUGGUCUCUGGUCCAGCCCAGGCUGUCCGGGAUGGGAGCUGGGAGGACCUGUGAGUAAAGGAAGCUUUACUGUGUCUCUGCCUCUGCCAUGUGUGUGUUCCUGGGCUGCGGGUCUGUGCACCUUGGUAGCAAGCUCGGUGGGAGGAAGCAGGAAGGUCUAGGAGGUUGUGAGCGCUGUGAUUUUCUUGUUGGCAGGUGGAUUCCCUGGUAUUGAUGACAUUUUGUAGUAAAUGAUUAGGUGAAUGAAUGAGUGAACCAGGAAGGAACGGGGAAACACAUAAACAGAGCCAGAAGUUAACAGGUCAGGGGGAGGGUGCAUGUUGAUCGCGCAUCCAUUCUGAUGCACAGAUGAUCAGCUGAUAGAUCAGUAAGGUAUUUAGUCGGGAAGUGCAUAAGGCCGUGUACAAACUGGUGCAGGCCACCGUGGGUGAGGGAAUGAGUAUCAUUCUUGUCAGGAAGAGAUUAAAGCCCAAAUUUUAAGAAAGAGAUUGAGACAUGGAGAUACAUAAACCAAGGCUGACUUUUUUUUGAAGCAUUGGGGAUUGAACUCAGGGCCUUACACACAAUAGGUCUACUACUGAUCUACACCUCUAGCCCCCCGUUUAGACGUUGUGAGCCCCCUUAGAGUAAAAGGCAAAAUAAAGCAAGGCAGGGGGAAUAAGAGGUCAAAGAGAGCAGGAAGAGGAAGAGAAGCGAGAACAAAUACAGGGAGAAAGAUGCUAGGGGACGCGUAACUGUAAGGCUAACCAGAUCAGGUAAGGCAGACACGAAUACUGCCUCAACUGCUUUUGCUCCUGGCAUAGGAAAACAGAGGAAAAGUUCAAAGGAGAAGGAAAGAAGGAAGUGGACGCAGUGGGCUAAAAAUGAGAGUGCACUUUAACCAAAAGUUACCUGAGUCAGGCACCCGAUGUUCUCACAUAAAUAAGAGCCAGAGUGAAAAGGAGGACAGGGGGAAAAGUCUGGGCGGAUAAAUGAGAAAGCAGGGAGAAUGCGUGUGUCCAGGAGCCGGGUGACAGGUGGCCCGAGGGGCCCUGAACUGCUCCGUCCUGGGAACUGAGAUCUUUUAGAUGAAAGGAGCUGGAAGAAGGAGAAAAAGUGGACUAGAAUAGGGUUGAAAUGAGGAAAUAAGAAUAAAAGGUAGUGAGUGUUAAGUGCAGAAUUACAUUCACGGGUGAAUAAAUAAAGACGCGGAGGGUAGCGGGGAGGCAGUGGGGAGACCCUCAUGCGUCCUGGCUGGUGGUGCGUUCACUUCUUAAAGCCCCGGCACUGUGGAUAAAAUAAUAAAUAAAGGAACAAGCCAGGGAGCAUCUAAGGAAACAAAGAGAGGAGGCAGCGAGGAGCGGGUCCCGGAGAGGGCGGCGGUGUUGUAAUGAGUCCCAUCUGUGCACCCGGCUCCAGGAAAAUGAGACCAGGGAGGCAGAGGCAGGAGUUACGGAGAGCUGUAAUGAGAGAAAGGAACAGUUAAAGGUAACUAGCUGCUAGAGGGAGACAUGGACAGACCUGUGACGGAGGGCUGAGCUAGGCUAGGAGCCAGAGUGUGGGGACCUACUAAGUGCUUACCGAAAGGAAAAAAACAGGAAGGAAGGAAGGACGAUGCCCAUGAACGAAGGGAUUAGUGGGUGACAGGAGCCGCACGGGGCAAAGAGGGGUGUCUGCAGGUGGACUGUUGAGGCGUCUGUCCAUGGUAGCUGUGGGCCAAAGAAUGAAAGAAUGCCCAGAGGACUGAGAAGGAGAUACAGUGAAAAAAGGAAAGCAGCAUAAAACUAGCUAAAAGAUAAGAAAGGCAAUAUAUCAACCAUACAUAGAUGGAUGCGGAUGUAAGGGAGAGCCACGCCAGGAGAAGUGGUGUGGUUAAUUCACACCUGCGCUCCUGGGCUGGACGCAACCACCCAGGAAGUGGCUGUGAGCAUGGACGCGUCAGGGAGGAGUCCGUGGGGCGGGGGGCCUUGGCUGCAGACCACGAUGUGUCCAAUUAGGUGCACCUGCUGUCUGGAAGGGUGGAAAUAAGUAUUUAAAUAGAAAAAAAAGUCGGAAUGGAUGCAUGAAUGCAUGAAUGAAUGAAUGAGAUAAAGAUUUGCAUUCAUCAGUGAGGGUGGUGGUGGGGGGCAGGCGAGGGUCCCCUGAGCCUGGGUGCUGGUGUGCAGAAGAAAAGGGGAAGACAGUGAUAGAGGAACAAUAAGAUGGGAAGAAAUGGGAAUGGGAAAGAAAAGAAGAGGCAGAGAUAGUAAGUGGAACAAUGAGGCCUAUGAGGAGGAGGCUCGCUAGUGCAACUCAUCCAUAUUCAUCCGGAAUCGGGGCCCAGGGUUAGGGUGCAGCUCAGCAGUGCAGCCCUCGCCUAGCGUGUGUGAGGCCCUGGCUUCCCCCCAGCCCUGCAGAGCAAAAACAAACAAACAAACAAUCCUGCGGCCCUGAAGGCUAUAAAUAAUAAUAGAAAUCGGUGUAAGUAAGAGUCUCAGCGUAUGCACUCCAGAAGGGUGCAAGGAAAGGAGCUGGACAAAUGCAAGGAAGGACGGAAGGAAACAUGUAGAAGAAAAAUGAAAGUAGACAGGGGAGAAUAAAAAGCACUUCCUGGAAAAGUAUUUAGAUAUAAUGAGUUGAUAUUAUUUAUUAAAUGCAAUAAAUAGUAAUGGUGGAGUUUCAGUAAAAGAACAAAUAGCACAAGGAAAGAGUAAACUAGGGAGUGACCAUAAAAGAAUGAGGAAUGACAUUUUUAAUUUUCAUUCUCUUCUGCACCCACGUCUCAUCAGAAUAGAAGAACGCAGAAGAAAGAGCUAGGACUAGAGGGGAAGGGAUAUAGAAAAUUGUGACAAGAUGGGUAUGAGCAAUAAAAACAUACUGAAUGCGUAAGUACACCCAUGAAUAUGUGUGAGAGAGGGCCGUACAGGGAGAGAAAACGGGAAGGGAGCAGAAAUUAUGACUAAUUCAAAACUGGGCUGCUGAGAUAGUUAAAUAAAUCCUAGACCCAAGCAGCGGUAGGAGAAAUUAAGAAACAAAGACGAGCCCCGUGCGGGCCAGGGUUGCGAUGGCUCUGGGAACCUCAGAUUACGGUUAAUCCCAUUCUGUGCACCUGAGGUCCAUAAAGAACAGAAGAAAUAUUGACAUAAAAGAGUGGCAGAGAGACUGGGAAAGUGAAAGACUGAAUUAGAAAUGGAAAUGGCGGGGUGGCCAGGGCGGAGGGCCCGUGGGAGCCCCCCGUCUCGUUCUGGGCGGCCGAGGUCCCAGGGAGUGAGGAGAUACGGAGAAGAAAGGCAAAGCGGGAAAGCGGAGGGAGUGGGAAAGAGAAGGGGGAGCAGCAAGGGGGAGUCCGUGCCCGCGAGGGUGUGUCAGCGGAGGAGGGUGUCUUAGGAUUAGUAAUGAGGUUGUCUCGAAUCCUAAAGAUAGAUCAGAUCAUCCAGACCCGGGUGCCUAGGGGGAGGGAGAGAGGAGUGGAACAGAGAAAAACCACACACAAGGAAAGCUAACAGACUCCUCACCAAAGCGAUCCACGGAAAAGUAAGAGAGGUUGUCUGAACAGGGAUUAUAAUGAGUUUGCAUACAUCCUCCUUCAGUAGAUAAACGCACUACAUCUUACAGAGGAGAAAUGAGGCACAGAAGCACCCCGAGCCCCAAUACAUGGCUGCAUUGCAUCCUGCACUGCCGUAACACUAUGUACAGUUAGUCCGUCCAUGAAAGAGUAAACGCAGAGAGGUUCCUUGGGGCAGGCCGGCGGGGAGUCAGCAGACAGAUCUGCCCGGGCCUGGGGAGCUGGCCUUGCACACGGGGUUCAGACUACUGCAGCUAUGUUCCCAGGAGAGAGCGGGUGAGACACGCCAAAAGGAGAGCCAGGAAGCACCGGCGAGUGUGUGAGCGAGUUGGUGACUGAGGAGCGGCAGAAAGUGGGGCUUUGGUGCGGGGCAGGAAGGAGGGUGUCAGGUCCAGCUGGGUUCCUACAGUUCUGGGUGCCUGAGUUUGUAAAAACGACAAAAAGUGAGGGGUGUGAGGAAGGGAGAAAGGCACGGCUUGGGAGGAAGGGUUAAAAACGACAGGGGUAAGGAGCAGGCUUAGGGUUAGCUUCAGCUGGGCUGUGAUGAGUGUAGCAGAGGCGUCAUCAGUGACAGGAGGAGGGCGCUAGGAAGGGCGCUAGGAAUGUAGAAGGAGAAGAAGGGUGAGAACCUCCUGCUGUGUGGGCCAUUUCACUGCUGCCUGUCCCCCCGUCUCCUACCUGUACAGACCCCAGCUGCCUGCCUGGGUUGACCCUGGGAGAAGCGCUCGCCCCUGCCCGUGACAAUGCCCCGCCCAUUUGCAGUUUCCGCCCGGAUGGGCCCUGCGGCAGUUGCCUGAACAAGGGGUGUUGAGCCCAGUGGGCGUCUUGGCCCCCUCCCUGGGCAAGGGUUAGCCAGGCGAGCACCUGUGAGGGGGGCCUUGCCCGCCAGAGGCAGCAGAGUGUUGGGGGGCGGGCAGGAGGCCCCCGUGCUUAGGCCCCGCUCAGUGCCUAGCGAGCGCCCUCCUGGGUGAGGCUUUGGUCCUCUCCAGGGGCUGGUGCACGGGAGAGGGGACGGUGGCCAGGAGCACCUUAGAAGAGUGACCCAGGAGCACAGGGACCCAGCAGCCCUGGGAAAAGCACCAGGAAGCUUGUUCUGGCAACUCUGCCGGUGCCCAGGUGGGGCACCGUGCUUCUCAAUUUGGGGGCCCGAGGGAGGGUCCACCUGAGCCCAGCUGACUUACCAACACGGCCCCGGGAACCUGGCCCCCCAGACGUGGCAUCCCCUGAGCCCGUUUCAAGGCCUGUCUCUCUGUGCGCCGCUGUACUCUGUAUCGGGUGGAAAGUGUAUCACACCGCGUCACUCGGAGCUAUUUUCUCGGGCCAGUCCUCUCGGGGCUGCUUGAGGACACCCAGAGAGUCGUUUGUUAUGACGUCCCUUCCCCCGGGGGCCCCUGCCUCUGUCUGGCUUCCUUUCUCUGUACCGGAGGAGAUCUUCACAGGGUGUGUCGUGUGCCUGUUUUGUCUGCACAAACAAGGACCGCUGUCCCUCUUGACAUCCCAGUUCCCAUUUGGAAUAUUAAAAAAGAACUGAGAUUCUUAGUGAGUGGCCAGACGCGAGGAGCACACUUGGGGGCCCAGGAGCAUGCGCAGACCGGGGUGGGGCGCAGGCAGAGCUCCUGCGCAGGGCAGGGCAGGGCAGGGCGUGGCCAGGCCAGGCCAGGCCAGGCCAGGGUAGCUGGGGUUGCUCUAGUCCAACUGCUGAGGGGCUGCACUUAGGGCAGGGAAGUGGGCACCAGGCUGAAGCUGCAGGUUUGUAGCUGCAAAGCGGGGAGAGGAGGAUCAGGUGCAUGCCGCACUUGUAAGACAGGCCCUGAGUGGAUGGCAACGGCCUUCAGAACGUGGGAGACAUGGAAUUCACGUGUCAGAAGCCACCUUCUGUGCCCCCAGCACCACGUGUCUGGGCCAUGUGAGCUGGGCCACAUGGGCCUGACGUGGAGCUAGGGCCACAGAGGUCUGCUGGCUGCCUCUGUCAGAACCUGGGGCUCUGGGCUCUGCCGCAGCACGGUCAUCCGUGGGACACCUGCUGGCCGGAAGAUUCUCCAGACAAGUUCAAGUGCCUCUGCAGGGAGGAGGGGCCUAGGGCUCAGGACAGAGGGACUGGGAGGCCCUCGGGGAGGAAGGGGGCCGGUGUUUAAGAAGUCACUGGAGCUCUGGGGAUGGCAGGGGGAGCAUGGGGUGAGCUGGGCUCCAGAAGAGCCCGUACCCAACGUCCAUCGAGAGGCUGCUCCAAGCAGCCGCCGCAGGUUGACCUGGGCAAGGGGAAGGCACCUCAGAAGAGUCACCGAGACCUGGAGGGCGGGUGUACUGGGGGUGUACUGGGGAUGCAUGACUGAUCUGUCCUACUGGGAAUGUCCAGACCAGGAGGGGGCAGCCGGGACCUGUGGGCCUCUGCCUGUUCAGAAGCUCCGCUCUGGGAUACUAAGGGCCUCUUUCGGGACGUGAGGGUCAGGACCGCGGCGGAUAGGCGGGGAGGGGACGAGCUGCGCAUGCGCCUGGGUUGGACCCAGCCCUCCCGACGACCGGGCCCAUCUCAGAUGUGCCUUUCUUUUCUAUCAACUUGAUAAAGUGAGACAGUUUUGUCUUUUGAUGGACGGCCAAGUGCGCCACACACAAAUGCCUUUCCUGGCGAUGCCAAGAGCACGGCUUUCCUUGGUCUCCCCUGUGACUCCCAGCCCCCUCCUUGGGGCACAUGGGCCACGGCCCCCCGGUGCCUCUCACGGAAAGGUGCCCAGUGACACCCAGCUCAGCCCCCUACAUGCCACCACCUCCCGGCCCUUCAGGUUCUUAUCUUAUGGCACUUUUCUGCUUUUCUUUAGAUAACGUCUAUGUUGUUUCCGAGCUGUUUUUUUUUUUUUUUAUACCUAGUUGCCUUUGUUCACCCCAUACACUUUUUUGCAUUCCUAUCUUUUCCACUUAAUAUUCUGCUUGCAACAGUUUCCUUUGCUCCGUAGCUUUUAUAACCUCCCUGCGCUGGGUUCUGGUGAAUGGCGGCAUUCGCAAACCCAUCCCGCUAGUUCUGGCAGAAGCCAUCUCCUUUUGUGUAGUACAGAGGGUGUCACCACUAACGGCUUUGCACACCCCAGUUGUUUUCCCCAUUUUUGCGCAGUGCAUUGUCGCACCCAGAAAUUGAUGCUUCCUUCCACACCAGUUUCUCCUGCUAGACUGUGAGCCCCCAAAGGGCAGGGACGUCAAAUGCGUCUUUGUCUCUCGGCUGCCUGACCUGCGAUGGGCUGUCAAUCCUUGUCUGCUGCAGGAGUGGGUGGGAGGGUGGUGGAGGCGUGAAUGGUCAGCUGGGAGACAGGAGAACGGAGGGGUAAACGGCUUGGUGCGCGAGGGAAAGAAUGAAUGAACUUUUGGGGUUGAGCCUCCUGUAUGAAAAGCCAGGGAUUCUGGUAUGGAUGUUGGUUCACUCCAGAAGCUUGUUUGGUGCCUGCAGUGUAUUGACAAUUUUUGAGGUAUCUGUUUGUUUUUCUGGGUUAAAAAUCGCUUUUGCAUCAUUUUAACUUGCUCCGAUUACUGAUGAAGGUUGAACAUUUUCCACCUGUGUUUGUUAACAAAUUGUAUCUUACCUCUUGUUGUGAACUGUUUGUCCAAGUCAGCCGGGUCAUGGCUUUCCACAGAAGCUGGUCGAGGGCGUCCUUAGCGUGCGGUGAGCUUCCUCCUCCCUGAGGCAUCUGAGGAGCUGGCCAGCAGCUGCUGGGGCCGGGGAGCUUUAGGGAGAUUCAGAGAAUGUGUGAGGUUGUCCUAGCUGGCUUUCAAGUCUGUUGGGCUUUACCAUUCACUUACCCCUGGGUGAUGGGGACAGGGAGAGCUCACUCUGGCUGGCAGGGAGGGGACAGUUAAGACUGCGUCCCUUGGUGUGUUUGUGCCCUUAGGAUACGUAAACCCCAAUGUCCACUGUUGCUUUUGACUCAGAAAUAUCUCUUUGCUGCCCCUGCCCCAAGAUCCAGAAAGUCACACCCAUCACCUGCAGUCUUGUCACCAACUUCCCUAGUGCUCGAGGGUGCCGGGCCCUGGGGCCACCACGUCCCACUUCUCAGGGGAGUUGGCUUCCACUACCCCGUGAUGUGUGAGCCAGCGCCCCUAAGUCUUGGCCUCCAUGACGGUCGCUGAAGUUUCAGUGAUGAGGGGCACAUUGUGGGUGAGCAUUUCAGUCUUUCUUUAUGAGUGCAGUUCAUAAUCUGAGGAGGCCUAGGGCUCUCCUCAGCCCCACCCCCAAGCAGGCUAGAACUCCAGGGUCCUUGUUGCCGCAGGGGAGGGGGCGCUGAGCAAGGAAGGCUUACCUUGCCUUUGAACCCUCUCCUCUGUUGACGGAGGGCUGCUUCUUCCUGCCGACCCUCUACUAUAGCACUGAGCACAGAGUGGCCGUCCCAGAACCCCCCACCCCACGCUUAUCUCAGCUGUGAAGCCCGGAGCCCACCUGGGACUUUCAACAUGACCUCUGUCUGUCCAUUCAUUUGUUCCCACAUCUGAUCUCCAUUUCUUGACCUGGUGCUUGUGGCCUUUACCUUUCCUGAAAGCAAACUUCUCCUUCCGGGAGGGCUGUGAGGUGUCAUAGGCUGUGGUCAAGAAGACUAUACCUCUCUUCAUAGCUUCUGCCUCUGGGUCACUGCUCUGAGCACGCCCCAGCGGGGUCUCAUCCUCCACUGUCACCCCCAUGGCUUUUUCUCCAUGGUGCUUCUCCACAGAGCACACACCAUGACUGUCAUCCAGGCACAAGGUCUGAGAGUGGCUGGGGUGGAGCUCUCCGGCCCUCCCGGGGAGGUGUCCUCCCCGGCUGAACCUUGGCUGGGCGUGGUCCCCUCCACCAGCUUUACCCUCAGCCUUGCUAAUUCCUCCACCAGACACAGUGACUGUCACCCACCUAUCCACUCCUUCAUCCCUCCACUCAUUCUCUUCCAGUCAACAAACAUCUGAAAACUCGAGUCAGUGCUAUAGUAGAGCCGGCCCCCAAGGCCUCCUCCCGACAUUGCUCUUUGCAAGCAGAGAUGACCCUGUUUGUAAAGGGGCCGUGUUUGUGUGACUGAAACCAAGCGAGAUCCUUGAUUUAGCUCAGACCUCUAGAUUAGAGUUCCACUGCAAGUUUGAUUGCGCUCUCCAAGUUCCUUCCUUACAAAAGUAGGUUGAUUAGUAAUCAGCAAACUCUGUUCCCUGGGUGCUGGGAAGUAUAGCCCAUACCCUCAAGAGGCUGGGUGGAGAGCUUGGGCUCUGAGAUCAGCAGACUUUCAAAGGACCAGGACACCUUGAUCUUAAUGGAGGUGGCCUGAGGGUCAUUCCUGCAACUUUAAAGAUUAGCUAUGAUGGGCUCUUUUUAGAGCAAAUUGCAAGCUAUGAUUGCCCAUGUAGGUGACAGGGAUGACACCCCAGGCAGGCGUCCUCGCAGAGCAAUCAAUUGGCAGACCUGGUGUCCGAGGCAUGGGGGCCUGGCAAGCCUUGGGUGCAGCCCCCAGGGUUUGUGGGGGUUCCAGGCCCCAUGAGACCUUCAGUUCGCUGCUGCCCGGUAGAAAGAGGCCUAGGUCUUAGGGGCUAUGCUAGAAUUCAGUGGUGAAGCCAGGACCCCAGAUCUGGACAAACUGUGCGAUUUACCCUUACUGUGAAAGUCUAAGCUUGUCUUGGUGGGGGGUGGGGGCGGGGGGCGCCCACCUCGCAGGGCUGUUGCGAGGACGCUGGAAGGUGGUGUGCGUGUCCCUGGGGUCCUGCCGGAGGGUCAGGCUACGAGGCUAAAAGGGGUCACCUGUCUCUGGCAAACUUAGUGGGAAGUCAUUUUUUCUGAAUAUGCGGGGUAUAUUGUUGGGUACGAUGCUACAUUUUUAUGGCAUUAUAGGAAGAAAUAGGAAUCAUUUCGGCAGGAACUUUCAGGACCGGGGUUGGGCAUGCCCCUGGCCCCCCCAGGGCACACGUCCACACCCACCUCUGUGAAAGGUUGGAAGUGUGCAGAGCUGUGCCACUGGCUGGCCUGUGGGCAGCACCCACCCGUGCCCCGCUCCAGAAGUCCCCCCCCCGUGGUAUAUUAGGCACCAGCUGUCCAAGACAGCCCUACAUUGUCCCCUUCCAGUGUCCCUUCUUCCCUGACCUCGUUUGCGUGCCGCACAGCGCCAGGCCAGUGGCAGGGCCUCACCUUCCUCCCCGUCCCUGUGCGGGGGGCCGCUGAUCAUGCUGUAACCAAUGCCAAGUGGCCACUGUUUCUAGCCACUACCGAGAAAUUGUGCUCUGUUCCCACUUACCCUGUCAGCCACUGCUGCGCUGUGUUGAACGCCUUGUGCUGUGCUGGUGGAAAACCAGGCUUCUGGCAGGAGCCUGUGUUUGGUAUUGUAAGGAGCCCAUGCUUUGGCACCUGGCAGACUGGGGGUCGCUUGACUCGGCGCAGUCCUGGGCCAGUCACUGUGCCUCUCUGACCCUCAGGGGUGUGUGUCCCUAGACAGCGUACUCACAGGGUGAUUGGGAGGGCCAAGGGCUGGGCCCCUGUGGCUGUGACAGUGCUUGUGCCGGUUUCAUAUCGGGAGGGUCGUGCACGGGUUGUGUAUGUGUUUUUUGGGAAAGCACUGGUGAUACCUUUAGUAGCUGGAAGCGAAUAAAAAGCAUCGCCCUUA